CAAUGGAGGUUUCAUUUAUUAUGGUUUAAAAAAUUAUAGCAAGAAUAAUUGCGAAGCUUUCUGUGAUUUUUUUUUCUUGUAGAGUUAUCCACCCUUGUACAGCAUAAAAGACAUGCAACUACCCACUGCUUUAUGGAGCGGGGGCAAGGACUGGCUGGCAGACACCAGUGACAUCAAUAUCUUACUGACUGAAAUCCCCACGUUAGUGUACCACAAGAACAUUCCCGAGUGGGACCAUCUGGAUUUUAUCUGGGGUUUGGAUGCCCCCUGGAGGCUGUAUAAUGAAGUAGUCAGUCUAAUGAAGAAAUACCAGUGAGUGCCAAGACUUGAGAUGCUUCCCCUUCACUAGGGGAAAAAAGGACAGAUGUUUGCUUAAUUCCUGCAAAAUACUUGUGUUUUCCUGGUCUAGAUCAUUUGUAUUUUUUAUGUGCAAGAAAACGAUGAUGUUGAAGACAUACAUGGGUCUGGUCAGUAAGAAGCACGCUGGCUGUCUUCUGCUUCAUUCUGACUGACAAGCCAGAGUCACAACCAGCGAUGCCUUUGAAGUUUUUAGAAAGUAUGGGUGUUACGUGAAGAAGCCAUUGCAAUCCUCUUGUUUACUUUUUACGGUCGUUUUCGGUGUCUGCAUGCUGUGCAUAUACAUGCCUAUGUGUGUGCCCUGUGCUGGCCAGAGCCUCCUUGUGUGGAGGUAAGGGCUCACAUCAGGGUAUCUUCCUCAGACACUUUCCACUUUACUUUUUGAGACCUGGUCUCUCGACGAACCAGUCAGUAGCUUGCUAUUCCAGUUAGACUGGCUGACCAGGGAGCCUCCAGAAUCUGUCCGUCUCUACCUUCCCCCUCACCAGGUCUACGGAGGGUGAUGUCCCAGCCAGCAUUUUUACACUGGUUCUAGGGACAGGAACUCAGGUUCUCAUGCUUGAAUAGCAAGCCCUUUCUUCACCAAACCAUUGCCUCAAACCCUCUGUGAUCGAAAAGCUGCUCAAUUACCUUUAUGUUCCCACCCAAUGCAAGUGAACGAGCACAAGACAUUUCAAGCUGUUGUUUGUGAGCAAAAAUCAAUCUGCCAGUGACUUGAACAUGCUAGGAGAAACUCCUCGCUCUGAGCUUGACAAACCUGCAGUCCAGGUUCUCCAGAGAUUGAGACAGGGAGGCUGCUGUUACAUUUAGGGUUCAUUUGGAGAGUGAGACUUUGUCUCUACAAAACCAAAGACAAAGGAGAAGAAGAAAAAAAAAACCCUAAAGUACUCAGUUCUCAUCUGUUAGCCUCAGAGGGCUUAGAGAGUUCCUGUGUUUACCUAUCCGAACAACAUUUUCAUGUCUUUAUGCAGUAGCUACCUAGUGAAAUCCAGUGUUAUCCCAGCUUCUCCAGGCGUAAACAUUCUCUCUUCAAUCUCAUCAGACCUCAGUAGCAAGCAUUUAGUGAAUAUUUAGAUUUUUCAGGCCAAGCCAAGACAAAAAUGAAUAGAAUAAAAGAAAAAAGAGCCCAGACUCUUGAAAGCGGUUUGCACUGAUUUAAAAAUAAAAAAAAAGAAUCUUGAAGAAUGACAUGAUAAACUGUGUUGGUUCCGCAUGUGUAGUCGGAUCCCUUUUCUGUGGAGAACGUUCUGUGGAGGGACAAACCACUAAUUUGCCCCAAGUGAAUGUGGCUGUAGUGACAGCGACAGUGCCUCUGAUCUGAGAAGCAGGGCUGGCUGCCGGUGACAAGCAUCCCAGUUCCUUUCCCCAGAGAUGAAGCGGAUGUUUUCAGACAGAGCUCGGCUCAGGAAUUUCGCUUGGAGAAUCAGUGUUUAUGUGCACAAUGUUUUAGUGAGCCUGCUCUGCGCCUGCAUAUGGGGAAGCCCUCGACUGUUCACCGGGCUCGUGGGCGACGGCUGCCGUCAGCUGGACAGUGGAUAAGUUUUCUGACGUAGUCACCACAGAUUCAGGGAUAUCGCUUUGUGUCGACUCCUAAGGAAGGCAGGACGAUAUGACUUGGUAACAUUGUAAAGGUUCACAUUUAAACUUUUCAAUAAAUCUCAGCCUCACAGGCCUGAACAUCUA
rnacentral:lncRNA from 1 species